rnacentral:lncRNA from 1 species
CCCCUGCUGGCUGACCUCCGGCGCUUUGCAGACGAGCACGAGCUCUGCAGUGAGGGCAAGCGGUCAGAGGUGGUGAUGGAGGUCCUGAACUGGGGCGAGCAGCAAGAGGCGGAGGGGGGCGAGUCAGAGGACGAGGAGGAGUACAGCGAGUACGACGAUGAUGAGGAGGCGGAGGAGGAGGCGGAGGACGAGGAGGAGGCGGCAGCAGCAGGCAAGCAGGGUGUCACAGCUGUGGCUGCCCGUCUGCCCCUGCAGCCGGGCCAGCCCAACACAAGGCAAACGCGGGCCUUGCAGGCACAUCCUCACCUGGACAGCAGCGUGAGCGGUGUCACGCUUUAGUGGGCGCCGCUGCCGCUGUUGCUACCACUGCCACUGGCGCUCCCAAGGCUGCCACUGCCACCCCCACUGCUGCCGCUGGGCGCUGCUGUGCCAGCAGUAGCACCGCUGGCGAUGUAGGCCGCCAUUGCUGCCGCGUGUGCGCGGCGCGCCUCAGCCGCCGCAAGGUGAUAUGGCCGUUGGUCUGUUGUGUUGAACGGCUGGACGGUAUGUUCGAGGAGGAGGCUUGCGAGGUCUCCAGUGGUUGCGAGGGCUUCCAACUGAUCACUAGUGAGGGGGUUCUGUUGGUAGUAUUGCGCUAGGGCGCCACCGGGUGGGGGAGGCGGGUGGGUCUUCUUUCCGUGUGGUUUCUCCAUGGGCUGGGCUCUGGUCUAGGCCCACGUCAUUCGUAUGUGGUGUGCAACAAUUAUAUGUAGGGAUAGUCACCCAGGUCGUCACUCAGGUCACAGCGAGGGCAGAUUUUGGCACUUUGAGCAAACUAGUGGGCCAGGAGCGCUGCGUGGUAUUUAUUGAUUAACUAUAUACUCAAUGUGAUGUACUGGGGUGCGGAAGAGCAAGCAAAGCGCGAGCAUUGCAAUGAACCCUACACCGGAAUGAUGACCCAAGCCACAAAUUGAUAUGUGAAGUCAGAAUAUGUUAACCAGCUACCAUUCAACAACAUUAGCACAGCUAAUUUCCAGUGCCGCAAUUGUUCGGAAAUUGCCCCCUGUUCGGCGCUUCUGACCAAAAGCGCGUCCACCGAAAAAGCGUUGCAGCAAAUGCAUAGAAUGUGGAAACAUGAUGUGGAAAUGUAAGAGUAUAUGUUAUGCGUGUGGACAGAAGUUGUG